UCAAGUUAAGCUUCAAGCCAGU
rnacentral:miRNA from 1 species